AUUGAACGCUGGCGGCAGGCUUAACACAUGCAAGUCGAGCGAGCGGCGGACGGGUGAGUAAUGUCUGGGACACUGCCUGAUGGCGGGGGAUAACUACUGGAACCGGUACAUAAUACCGCAUACCAUUCGAUGUGAUCUGGGUGGAUUAUGCCGUAGGUGGGGUAAUGGCUCACCGAGGCGACGAUCCCUAGCUGGUCUGAGAGGGUGACCGGCCACACUGGAACUGAGACACGGUCCAGACUCCUACGGGAGGCAGCAGGAGGGAAUAUUGCACAAUGGGCGCAAGCCUGAUGGAGCCAUGCCGCGUGUGUGAAGAAGGCCUUCGGUUUGUAAAGCACUUUCAGCGGGGAGGCGUUACUCGCAGAAGAAGCACCGGCUAACUCCGUGCCAGCAGCCGCGGUAAUUC
rnacentral:rRNA from 1 species